rnacentral:lncRNA from 1 species
ACUAUAAAUAAAAUAAGUCCCUUAAGAUCAACGAAAGUCCUAUGGACUAUAUAGGAGAAAAGUCCAUUAAAAUCGACGAAAGUCCCUUGACCACUAUAAAAAAAACGAAAGUCCCUCAGUCCUUUGGAUUAUAAACAAAAUGGGAAUGUUGGAAGAGAAAAGUCCCCUGGAGUAUAAACAAGAAAAAUCACCUGGACUAUAAACAAGAAAUGUCCCCUAGACUAUAAACAAGAAAAAUCUUUUAAGUUCGACGAAAAAUUCCCUUGAACUAUAAACAAGAAAAAUCCUUAAGAUCGACACAAUAGUCUCUAGGAUUAUAAAUAAGAAAAGUCCCUUGGACUAUAAACAAAAAAACGUCCUUUAAGAUCAACGAAAGUCCUCAGUCCCUUGGACUAUAAACAAGAUGAGAAUGUUGGAAGAAAAAAGUCCUUUGAACUACAAACGAGAAAAGUCUCCUAGACUAUAAACAAAAAAUGUCCCUUAAAACCGACAAAAAAGUCCUAUGGACUAUAAACAAGAAAAGUUAUUUGGACUAUAAACAAAAUAAGUCCUAUAAGAUCAACGAAAGAAAAAAGUCCCAUGGACUAUAAAUAAUAAAAGUCCCUUGGACUAUAAAAAAAGAAGUCUCUUAAGAUCAACGAAAGACCCUCAGUCCCUUAGACUAUAAACAUGAUGGGAAUGUUGGAAAAAAAGUCCCCUAAACUAUAAACAAGAAAAGUCCCUUAAGAUCGACAAAGAAGUCCCUUGGACUAUAAACAAGAAAAGUCCUUUGGACUAUAAACAUAAGAAGCCCUAUACGAUCAAUGAAAGUCAAGGGACUAUAAACAAGAUGGGAUUGUUGGAAGAAAAAUGUCCUCUGGAUUAUAUACAAGAAAAGUCCAUUAAGAUCAACGAAAGUCCCUUAGCCACUAUAAACAACGAAAGUCCCUCAGUUCUUUGGACUAUAAACAAAAUGAGAAUGUUGGGAGAGAAAAGUCCACUUGACUAUAAACAACGAAUGUUGGAAGAGAAAAGUCGCUGGAGGAGGAGCACCAACAGUCGACACGACACAGCCAACACAAUAUGUCAAGGAACUAGGCAUAAACGAGGUUGGCCAAGGGCAUGGUCUGGAUGCAACCACUGGCUAGGCUUCGAAUUCAGGAUGAGCGUCGUUGGACAAGGUCCCUGGCAGCAGCACAGCCGCUGGCCAGGGCACCAUUCUAAAUGCAAAACCACUUGACAGAGGUCCUGGCAGCAACACAACCACUGACCAGGGUACCCAGCUGUAUACAAGGUCGUCUGAUGAGGAUAUUGGUGAUAAGUCCUCAAAAGUGUAUAUUUAUCCCCCGAAUAACACUUUGUUUGCGUGUUAUAUCUAUUGAUUAGUGCUUUCUUGUCAUUUGUGUAGGUUUCAUGAGUCGAAAUGCGAAUAUUGUAUUAAAGCCCGCUAAAAGUCAAGAAAAGCCACCAAAAGGAUGUUAUUUGCACAAAGGAGGAGAAUUGAUACUUGUACCCAUAGAGUUGCUGAGGGCACCCCACGAACUGGUCAUAUGGACUUGACUUUAUGUCCAAGAUGGGGUGGCCUAAAUCUCAGCCCAAUUCGAGUUAUAAUGAACCCCACAAGUCAGAAAUUAUAUUUAAGCCUUUAUUAAAGCCCAAUCUGAAAAAGACUCUACAUGAAGAUCAAGAAGUUUGAUUUGGGGUCAUGAGCUGUCUAAUUGAAGGUCUUUGACGUAGCAGAAGCGAUUAAAAAUCAAACCUUGAAUAACCCAAGGGGAGGUUUGCCUUGAAACAAGGAAGAACUAAUAUAAAACUAAAGAAAACUAAAUUGUAGAGACAAAUCUUAAUUGUAUUGAUUGAAUAAUUGUUCUACAAAGCAUGACUCUUUAUAUAGACUAAAAACUAAGACCAACUAGCACUAGGACUUCCUAAAAAAAAAAUCAAAAUACAAAUCCUACUUUGAAUUGUAUUACUAAUAUCAACUUAGUAGUAAUCCAACUAUUCUAGAACUUUUAGACUCUAAAUUAGAAAUUACUAAAUAAAAUAAUAAGAUAAAAAGAAAAUAAAAAAAAUAAAUUUCUAACGAUGAUGUCAGCAUUGUUGGUGAUGACGUCAGCAAUGACAUCAGCACUAUUCUAAGUCUCCAACUUCGAAUGUUUGAGAACGACGAUGUUUGUCAGCAUCUUCCUUGUAAUGAGUAUUAGAAUUCUCAAUAUUCUUCUUGACUGUGUCGUGAAGCUGAGUCAUAUUAUCAACCAUUGCAUCUGCAUCAAAAUUCAUACCUGGAACCUUAGGCAAAGAGACAAGGUCAACGGUAUGAUUGGGAACUUUAGCAUAGACAAUUUGAAAAGGAGAAUAUCCUGUAGUACGACUCUUUUGAGGUAUUGUAAGCAAACUCGGCUUGAGGCAAAACAAGAUCCCAUUGUUUUGGUUUGUCACCAGAGAGACAACGAAUCAAAUUUCCCAAUGUUUGAUUCACAACUUCAGUUUGACCAUCAGUUUGUGGGUGAGAAGUACUACUAAAUUUCAAGGAAGUACCAAGUCUCAUCCACAAAGUCUUCCAGAAGUAACUUAAAAAUUUGGUGUCACGGUCUGAAGUAAUAGAUUUUGGAACUCCAUGUAAACGAACAAUUUCCUUGAAGAAUAAAGUAGCAAUAUUGGAAACAUCUGAUGUUUUCUUGCAAGGAACAAAAUGAGCCAUCUUGGAGAACCUAUCGACAACAACCAUAAUCGAAUCAACACCUCUUUGAGUCCGAGGGAGACCCAAGAUAAAAUCCAUAGAAACAUCAACCCAUGGUGCAUUAGGAACCGGUAAUAGUGUAUACAAGCCAGUAUUUUGAGAUUGACCUUUUGCGGUUUGACAAGUAUAACACCGCUGAAUGAGAUUACCAACAUCUCUUUUUAGGGAUGGCCAAUAAUAUCUUUCUUCAAUCAAAGCAAUAGUCUUGUCACGACCCAUUUGACCUGCGAGACCCCCAGCAUGCAUUUCACGAAUGAUAUGUUCUCUAAGGGAGCCUUGAGGAAUGCACAAGUGAUUUCCCUUGAAAAGAAAACCAUCCUGAAUAAGGAUAUCAUCUAUACCAGAUUGAUUUUGAGAGCAUUUAAUCCACAUAUCCGAAAAAUCAGGAUCAUCAUCAUAUAAAUCCUUCAAAUAAUCAAACCCAACAAUAUCGGUGUUGACUGUAACGAGCAAAGAAGCUCUUCGACUGAGGGCAUCAGCUACUUUUAUAUGUUUUGUAUUUACUAUAUAAAGGAAGUAGUAGCUAGGGUUUAUAUACUACUUCUCUUAUAUAGUAAUUACAAAUCAUAUUACUUGCUAAUAAAGUCUUCCAAGUUAGGUCAAAUUUGUGGCUGCUGUUGUUGACACAAUAUUUGUAUUUCGGCUCAUGAAACCUACACGAAAGCACUAAUCGAUAGAUAUAACACAAUAAUAUAAGCUAAGUGCUAUGCAAACAAGGUGUUUUUCGGGGGAUAAAUAUACACUUUUGAGGACUUAUCAACAACUCUGACAGGUGUGUUGUGGGAGAGAUAGCCGCUGGGCAGGAGGCAGACAAGGAUGUUGCCAGGGGCACAACCGCUGGCCAGGGUGUGACCCUGGGCGCAGGGCUGUUUGCUGGGGACAAUGCUGAGGGCAUAGCCGUUGGAGAUGAAGUUAGCCUGGUGGCAGGCAGGCCCGACCAGGUAAUUGUUGGUGGUAUGGCUACUAACCAAGUGCCCGGUUCGAGCACUAACAGGUCGGACGAGGUUAACGAACCAAUAGGUCUUAUGGCAAACAAAGGACACAACCACCGAGAUAAUGAAAGCACAACAAAUCCUCCAGAAUCCACAUUCAAGACGUUGAUGCAAAACAUUGUCCCCACAUGUAUGACCAUACAAUGAUAAAAUUGUAAGUGAUAUUUCUGCAAGCUUAUAUAGAAUUUGAACUCGGGUUUGAUAUAAGUAAAUCACGUAUUGAUAUAGACAUGAUCAUUGUAGAUCACAUAUUGAAUAUUGAAAUUGACAUGAACAUUUGGCGAUCGUGUAUCGAUAUUGAGAUUGAUGUGAUCAGUUAGUUGUCGAUCACUGUUGAGAUUGAUAUUGAUAUUGAUGUGACCAGAGAUCACUCUUGAUAUUGAUGUGACCAGAGAUCACUCUUGAUAUUGAGAUUGAUGUGAUCAUUAGAAAUCACUCUUGAUAUUGAUAUUGAUGUGAUCAUGAGAGAUCACUCUUGAUAUUGAAAUUGAUAUGAUCAUGAGAGAUCAUUUUUUAUAUUGAUUCAUACGCCCCCAUGUAGUAAUGCAUUAGGUGAAAGAGGGAAUCGCCCCCAAGCGUAUGAUGUAGAAACGUUCCGAUGAUAAGGAGGGCACUAUUAAAGGUGUGAUUAAGAUAGAUGGUGACGCCCCAAAGUUGUGUGAUAGAGGGGUGAACAAAAUUAUCGAGUUUGAGUUGACUUAUCAUAUGUUAAUACCACGUGUGGAACCCUUAGCAAUGACAUGAAGUUUUGUUGCGUGAUACUAGUUAUGCAAAAUCAUUAGCGUGGAUCUUGAUUUGAUGCAACCAUAAAAUUGACGCCCCCAAAUGGUACUAGAGUGGACGAAUCCUUAAGAUCCCUAACUAAUUUCUUGAAAAAUGUGAGUUUGAAUUCUAAUUUGUCGCAAAUCCUAACUUUGUCAAUAUUAGUUGUUCAAAAAUAGUAGCUUAAAUUCUGAUUUAUUGUAAAUCCUUAAGAUCUCUAACCUUUUGAACAUUAGAUAGUUGAAAAUGUUACUUCAAAUUUUUGAUUUCUUGACAAAUCCUUAGAAUCCCCGGAGAAACCGUAGUAGAUGGGCAGUUUGCCAUUGCAAAAAUCUUGAAUUCUUUGAAUGAAUUAAAUGGUUGAAUAAAACAACUUUGAAAGAAGUAAAUAUGCUUGUGUGACGAACUUGUAAAAAUCAAACAAAGUUGAGAAAAUGUGUAAAAUUAAAGUUCUUUUGAACGAUUGAAAUAUACAAUGUCGGUAAUAUGUUGUAAUAUUCUUUCUAGGAGAAGAAACAGAUUAAUGAACCGAUAUCUUCUCGAAAUUUGGAUUUUCAGUGGAUGACUUGAUUGGUAUUAGGAGUUUUGUUGCUAUUGUCACCUUGCUUUUGAGAUGUGAAAUUGAAUUUAGAGUCAAACUUCUUGUGAUUUGAAUCUUCGUUCUCUUGUUUGCUAAUUGUAUCAUCCUCAAGACAGAUAUACUUUUGAGCUCUAGAGAAAAGUUCAUACUUGGUGGCUAGAGUGUCAAGCAUAAUGGAAUUGUAUAACCCUUUGUCAUCAUGUAGUAACGUUUUUUUGAAAGCAUAAAUAACAAGUGUAUCCGAGACAUCAGGUAUUUUUGUUUGAGCUUGUCUAAAUCGAGCUACAAAUUUACUUAAUAACUCUCCAUCUCCUUGCUUAAUGUUGAACAAGACAGCGACAUCCUUACGGUGACAUCAAUUAUGCUAGUGUUCGGCAAAUUCGACAGAGAAAUCAUUAAAGUUGUGGAUAGAACCCCGUCGAAGGUCGGAGAACCAUCGAAGAGCUUCGAUAUCAAAGGUGGAAGGAAACAUCUUGCACAUGAGUGCAUCAUCAUAACUAAAGAGCACCAUCUUGUUCUUGAAGUCGGAAAUAUGAAGCCAAGGAUCGCCCUCAACUUCAUUGUAUUCUUUGAAACUUGGUGGCUCGAAAUCUGGGUGAUGCUCUGCUCGUUGAAUCUGGAAGAAAAAUAGGGAAGUUUUUCCCGUAUGAUGGGUAAUGCUGCUGAGUCUAUACUCCUUAGCUUCUUUUGCUUGAAUUGCUUGAGUGAUCAUUCUUUGCAACUUCUCUUCAGUGAGGUUCUCGAUCCCUUCACUACCAUUGCCAUCCUGACCAUAUUCAUGUGCAUAAGUGCCUUGGUCAUGAUCUUGGUGGUAAUAUCUUAGGGACCUAGAUGUUAGUGAACGAGUGUGAUGUCGCCCUCUUUAAGAGUUGUGGUGUGUGCCCUUACGUCAGGGAGAGGUUUCCCGACGUAAGUGGUGAUGAUUGGAUGGUCUAAUAAGGUCAUUGUCGGAAUAGUUAGGAGCAUAGCCUUUGGACCAUGACCUAUUUUUGAGGCUGUUGGACACACUGCCGCUGGACAAAAGUCUUUUUGGAGAACUGUUGGAUACACUGCCGCUGGACAAAGGUCUUUUUGGAAGACUGUUGGGUGCACUGCCGCUGGACAAAGUCUUGUUGUGGUGGUUGUCAUGCUCAUAAUCACUGAGCAGGGUCUUCUUGUGUGUUGUGUCAUGCUCAUAGCUGUUGGGCAAAGUCUUGUUGUGGUGUCUGUCAUGCACAUUGCCGUUGGGCAAGGUCUUGUUGUGGUGUCUGUCAUGCACAUUGCCGUUAGGCAAGGUCUUGUUGUGGUGUUUGUCAUGCUCAUAGCCGCUAGGCAUGGUCUUCUUGUGAGUUCGGUUAUGCUCAUAGCCGCUGGAGAGGCCAUGGUGAGGACUUUUGUCAUGCACAUAGCCGAUGGGCAUUAUUGUGGCGAGUAUAUUGGUAUUGUCUCGUACACUAGCUUGGGGUCUUCCACACAACCUCUUAGCAACAUUGUGUGUAGUAGUACCUCGUAGCAAGGUUGUCUUGACUCCUUUGGUGCGAUGGUGAUGUUGGUUUCUUGCUUCGUCUUGACCAUUAACAUGAACCCUAAGACCCUUAGGGUUUUGACGUUCAUCUUCUUUCUCCAAGUCAACUGGGGAGUGUUCUUGUGAUGGUAAUACAAUGUCAUCUUCAAUAUCCUCUUCAACUUCCGAGAUGGCUGAAGGUCGAGUUCUUUUCUUUGAAUUUGGAUGGAGUUCGAACCCAUAAAAAACAUUUGAAGAAGAAGGAGUUAACGAACACUUAUUACCAUUGUGAUUCGCAUGAUUCAACUUCCUCCUAAGACCAUUGUUCAUAUUUUAAAGCCUUUUGAGUAGGCUCCUUGAAUUUUGAUGGUUAAGAAGAAGAAGAAGAAACCGAGUGUUUUUCGCCAUUAGAUGGAACCCUCUUGGAAGUGACGGUAUGUUCUCUAAGGUUGGAAUCUUGAGAGCAAGCUUGCACAUGUUUUGAACCUUCUUGACGUCCACCAUUGCUUACUAUCUUGAUUUGUUGAGAUCUAGUUGUUCCCAUAAAGAAGAAAGAGCUUGAUUCCUUUGGAAAAAUAGGUUUUUAUUUAGGGGGGGGGGGGGAGAAAACCUUAGUCGGCGCCAAAGUGUUUCAACCGGAUUUCAUACCAAUGUGAUCUAGAAUCAAGAAGAAACCCCUAAUGUUAUGAUCUAAGAAAUUGGAGAUGAUGAAGAUGAAGGAGUGGGGUUUUGGUGAUUGAUUAUGGUUGCACUAAGUUGCUUCUUAGUUGCCUACGUAUCCAUAAGAGAGAUGAAAUCAAACCUUUUAUAACGUAAUUCAAUUGUAGAGUUUAAUUAGGAUUAAAAUGUGACCCAAUGAUCCUUAAUGUAUUGUAGUGUUGUAGUCCCAUGUAUUUGAACUUAAAAGUGGUAACUUAAUGUAUGUACAUGUCCUAUUAGGAACAUGAGUUGUAGAGAUAUUUGAGUUGUAUUUAGAUUAGAAGUUGUAGAGAUAUUGGAGUUGUAGUUGGAUUAGGUUAAGAAAAUCUCUACAAAGAAGUAGAAUUACCAUAUUACUCUUAUUGAAUAUGAUGGGCUUAAAUAGAUAAAGCCCAUGACUGAUAUUAAAUGUAAUAACGGGCAUAAGCCUUAUUACUAAUUGAAUGGGGCUUGGGAUCUUAUUAUUAAAAGUUUUGGCUUUAAACUGGGGCUAAAGCCCGUUUGGGGGGGGGGGGGGGGGUCAACACAGGAAUGUUGGAAGAAAAAAGUCUCCUAGGCUAAACAAGAAAAACCCCUUAAAAUCGACAAAAAAGUCCCUUGGAUUAUAAACAAGAAAAGUCCCUUGGACUAUAAACAAAAUAAGCCCCAUAAGAUUAACGAAAGUACCUCAGUCUAUUGGACUAUAAACAAGAUGGGAAUGUUAAAAGAAAAAAGUCCUCUGGACUAUAUACAAGAAAAGUCCAUUAAGAUAAACGAAAGUCCCUUAGCCACUAUAAACAACGAAAGUCCCUUAGUCCCCUGGACUAUAAACAAGAUGGGAAUGUUGGAAAAGAAAAGUCCCCUGGACUAUAAACAAGAAAAGACCCUUAAGAUCGACAUAAAGUCCCUUAGAGUAUAAAUAAGAAAAGUCCCUUAAGACCGACGUAAAAGUCCCUUGGGCUAUAAACAAAAAAAGUCCCUUAAGAUCAACGAAAGUCCCUCAGUCCCUUGGAGUAUAAACAAGAUGAGAAUGUUGGAAGAAACAAAAUCCCUUGAAUCACAAACAAGAAAAGUCCAUUGAAAUCAACGAAAGUCCCUUAAUCGCUAUAAACAACGAAAGUCCCUCAGUCCCUUGGACUAUAUAGGAUGGGAAUGUUGGAAGAGAAAAGUCUUUUGGACCAUAAACAAGAAAAGGCCCUUAAGUCACAAUAAUAAAAAAGCUGAGAAUAUGUAGGAAGAGAAAUGUCCUUUAGAAUAUAAUCAAUUUGAGUGUAGUACAUUAACUAUGAACUUAUUAUAUACAAUAAAUGCUCAUAUUUUAUUGUGCUCCUUAUUCUUUUAUAUUGUCUCAAUUCUUGGCACAAAUAGUUUGUAUGUUUGGUCUCUUCAGAAUUGUUGAAAUUAAAUAAUUUGUGACUGUAUGAUAUGUUUUCCCAUGAAGGUGCUUAAGAAGUUUGUCUGGUGACUCUGUUGUUGGAAUGUCAUUAUGUUUGGUUAAUGUUCUAUAGUUGAAUACCAUGUGGAGAUUUAGUGGUCAAAACUGAAUAUAUUGGGUGUAUGUUUGAAACUCAUGUAAUUUGGCUUGUAUGUUAUUAGGGGUGUUAUGUGAGCUGAGCAGCUCGAGCUCGGCUCAUGUUCGGCUCGAAAAAAGCUCGGCUCGGGCUCGCUCAUCUUGUAAAACGAGCCGAGUUUGAGCAGAUUUUAGGCUCGUCUCGAGCUCGAGCUGAGCCCGAGCUUUAUUCGAGCCGAGCCGAGUAGCUCGAGUUUAUAUCGUUAUUCCUAUCCUACCCCCACUAAUAUCUGUUAUUCCUAUCCUACCCCACUAUAGAUAACAUAAGAACAUAAGUUUCUGCUGGAAACCUAGCCGUCUGCCCGUCUCCUCUUCUUCUCCCAAACCCAUAAUCAGCAACUUCUGAUUUUGUCUCCCUGAACUGUCUUCCCAUCCCUUUCUUCUUCUUCGGCAUUCUAGAAGAUUCCCCUCCUCCACCAGCAUGCUUCUUCAGUUUCUGUUUUGUUCUCCAUUUCUGCAAUUUCUUACUAAAAAUCGAAGCUGCCAACCAAAAACUCCCAGCAAUCUCCCUCAAAUCCCUCCCAGAUGGCGGCUUCUUAAUCUGCGCUUCCAUAUCAAUAUGAUCCUUCAUGGUUUUGAUUUCUUCCCCAUCUACUACUAAUUCCUCUUCAAUUUCUCCAAUUCUAUCUUCAACAAUGUUAUUAUCAGAAACCCUAAUUUCACCCCCAUUUCCCCUUUCUUCCUCCUCCUCUUCUUCUUCUUCUUUCAAUUCAAUCACAGGUUCACCAAACCCUAAAUCUCUAGUUUCAAUUUCAAUUCCAACCCAAACCUCAUUAAAACUAGUUCCUUUCUUUUCAUCAUCCAUAUUUGCUUUCUUUGCUUAAUUGAUUCAAAGGGAAUGAGUGAGAAGAUAAUUGAAGUUCAGUUUGUGUUAAAGAGAAUGAAUGAAGGAAGGAAGAGAUCGAGAUCUAGAAGUUAGUGUGAUUGCAUUGCGUGUAGUUGUGUGACUGUGUAUUAUUACUUCCCUUCACUUUCCCAACCAAAGCAAAGCAAAGCAAAGCAGAGCAGAGCAAGGCAGACCAGAAAAAGCUGCAAACGAGCUCGAGCUUGAUUCGAGCUAAACGAGCUUGGAGGGCUCGAGCUCGGCUCGAGCUAAACGAGCCUAACGAGCUCGAGCUCGAGCUUGAUAAAUAGCUCGCGAGCCGAGCUUGAACAUAAAACCAGGCUCGAUUCAGAAAUUGGGCUCGGCUCGGGCUCGGCUCGUAUUAAAAACGAGCCGAGUAUGAGCAUUCAAAGCUCGGCUCGCUCGGCUCGAAUAACACCCCUAUAUGUUAUAGAGACAUGGGAAACAUAUCAUAAUGUGAUAUUGUAUGUUGUCUUAGGGUCUAUUUGUAAACUUUCUUGGGAAUUGGAAUUGAGUUUAUAAUUCCAAAACUUCUGAUUUUAGAGAAUUGAAAUUUUUAAUAUUAAAUGUUUACUAUGUUUGGGAUACAUAGAUUGAAAUGAGAAAAGAAAUUAAAUAAGUGAUAUAAUAGGAAAAUAAUAUAGAUGGUAGUAUUAAAGUUUCCUUACAUAGAAAAUAAAUUUCCAAUCAAGCCUAGAAUAAGAGUUUUACCCCCAUAAGAAACUUGUGAAUCAAUGAUAUUUAAGGAUUUUCAAUUUCAAUUCAUGGACUAAAGUCCUUCUAAAUGCACAAAGUUACAUGUUUUGGAAAAUAAUUUUUAAUUCCAGCCUCAAUUCCAUGUUUCCAAACAGACCCUUAAGUUCAUAAUAUACGUUACGAUUCUUCAAGGUGGAUUUGGAAUUUCAUGUUCAUGGGGGUUGUGGUUUGAAUCCAUUUCCUAAGGAUUGAUAAUUUUUUUUUUUUAGGAUUGGGUGUUGGAUUGGGUUUAAGUGGAAUGUAAAACCUAAGACUUAUGUUCUGCAUCUUGACAUAUGUUUGAGCUUAUAAUAAAUAACCAAAGUCCAAUUUCCCUUGGACUAUAUAAAAAAGAACAAUCCCUUGGACUAUAAACAAAAAAAGUCCUUUAAAAUCAACGAAUGUCCUUCAAUCCCUUAGACUAUAAAACAGUUGGGAAUGUUAGAAGAGAAAAGUCCCCUGGACUAUAAAAACAAAAAUCCCUUAAGAUCGACGAAAAAUCCCUUGGACUAUAAAUAAUAAAAAUCCCUUGAGAUCGACGAAAAACUCCCUCGGAUUAUAAAAUAAGAAAAGUCCCUUGAACUAUAAACAAAAAAAAGUCUCUUAAGAUCAACGAAAGUCCCUCAGUCAUCUAGACUAUAAACAAGAUGGGAAUGUAGGAAAAAAAAGUCCUUUGGACUAUAAACAAGAAAAGUUCAUUAAGAUCAACGAAAGUCCCUUAGUUAGUAUAAACAACGAAAGUCCCUCAGUCCCUUGGACUAUAAAAAAGAUGGGUUUGUUGGAAUAGAAAAGUCCCUUAAGAUCAAGGAAAGUGCCUUAGUCACAAUAAUAAAAAAAAGUCGAGAAUGUAGAAAGAUAAAUGUCCCUUCAAUCAUAGUACAAAAUAUCGCGAUUUAUUACGAUAUAUCGUGAUAUUUAUCGGUUUUCUAAGAAAACGAUAGGGAUAGAAUUCGAUAGUAUCGGUUACAAUGUAUCAGCAAAAGUCGCCCGAUAUAUACUGAUAUAUCUCGAUAUAUCACGAUUUAUAGAAACUAUCUAAAUAUAUCGAUGAACAAAGAGGAAAACAUAUCAAAAAAAAUAUCUGCAGAUCUUGAAUUUCGCGUUCUUAACUUGUUUCUCUCACUUUUUCUAAACUCAUUUCGUUUCUAUCAAAGAGAAGAAGAAGAAGAUGUAUAGUAAGUUCCCAAUGAAUCUCCAUCUCUCUUUUCAUCAAAAUAAAGAAGAAGAAGAUAAAAAAUUCACCACGAAUCUCUUAACCCCCAUCUCUCUCUCUCUCAAACAGAUUUGAACGUACAACUGAAGAGUGACAUCUUAAAAUCUUCAUAUCAAGAUCUUUCUAUACAUUCUGAUGCUUCAUUAGUUAUUUUUGGAAUGAUUUUAUUUGGUUCUAUUUGAUUAAAAAUUGUAAAAAUUUGAUUGAUUAGAUACCCAGACCUUUAUUUUGGCGAUUUUCAUCAAAAUUUGCCUACAAUUUUGGUUUAAAAAUAAAUUAGAAAUCUCAUCAAAUGUUAAAAACUGAAUCUAUCGAUGGAUAUAUUUUGAUAUAUCCGGAUGUAUCGGGAUUCCAGAUUUACGAAAUAUUGAUCGAUAUCGAUUUUUUGUACUAUGCCUUCGACUAUAAACAACUUGAGUGUGGUACCUUAACUAUGAAGUAAUUUUAUACAAUCAAUGCUGAUAUUUUAUUAGGCUCUUUAUUCUUUUAUAUUGUCUCAAUUCUUGGCACAAUUAGUUUGUAUGUUUGGUCUCUUCAGAAUUGUUGAAAUUAAAUAAUUUGUGACUAUAUGAUAUGUUGUCCUAUGAAGGUGCUUAGAAAGUUUGUUUGGUGACCCUGUUGUUGGAAUGCCAUUAUGUUUGGUUAGUGUUCUAUAGCUAAAUACCAUGUGGAGAUUUAGUGGUAAAAACUGAAUAUAUUGGGUAGGGGUGAGCACGGUUCGAAACCGGUCAGAUUUUCUUGAAAUCGAAAACCGAACUGUAGAGCACGGUUUCAAAUUUUUCGGAACCGAAACCGAACCGUAAGACCUUAGGAGCCGGUCACAAACCGAACCGAUUUUUACGGUUCGGUUCGGUUGGUUUCUACGGUUUGGAUUUUUUUGGAUUUUGGGCCUACAACCUUAAUAUAUUGUGGGCUUUUAGACUUUACUUAAUAUUAAAUCCAAAUAAUCGAUUGGACCGAUCAUACAUUGUGGGCUUUUAGACUUUACUACUAUUAUUUUUCGGUUCGGUAAACCGCAAUAUUUUGAAGAAAGAAACCGUAAACCAAACCGUAGGUAACGGUUCUACAACUUUUGAAACCGUAAAUUGAACCGAUACUCCAAUGAACCGUUAAAAACCGAACCGUAUGUACCGGUUCGAUUUCUCGAUUUUUUGGUUUUUUUGCUCACCCUUAAUAUUGGGUGGUGCUUUGAAACUCAUGUAAUUUGGCUUGCAUGUUAUAGAGACUUAGAAAACAUAUUAUAAUGUAAUAUUAUCUAAUCUCUAAACUUCAUAAUGUAUGUUACGAUUCUUCAAGCUGGAUUUGGAAUUUCAUGUUCAUGAGGGUUGUGGUUUGAAUUGAUUUCCCAAGGAUUGAUAAAAAAAAACAACUAAGGAUUGGGAGUUGGAUUUUGUUUAAGUGGAAUGUAAAACCUAAGACUUAUGUUUUGCAUCUUGAUAUAUGUUUGAGAUUAUAAUAAACAACCAAAGUCCCCCGUUUCCUUGGACUAUAUAAAAAAGAAAAGUCCCUUGGACUAUAAACAAAAAAGUCCUUUAAGAUCAACGAAAGUCCU